CAGUAGCCACGGGAAAACGUAGGGUGCAAGCGUUAAUCGGAAUUACUGGGCGUAAAGCGUGCGCAGGCGGUGUUGUAAGACUGAUGUGAAAUCCCCGGGCUUAACCUGGGAACUGCAUUUGUGACUGGCGGGCUAGAGUAUGGCAGAGGGGGGUAGAAUUCCACGUGUAGCAGUGAAAUGCGUAGAGAUGUGGAGGAAUACCGAUGGCGAAGGCAGCCCCCUGGGCCAAUACUGACGCUCAUGCACGAAAGCGUGGGGAGCGAACAGGAUUAGAUACCCCCGUAGUCCCUGUCUCUUAUAC
rnacentral:rRNA from 1 species